AUACAUAACCAAGUUAACCUACGAGCAUAAACUCUCUCGACAAGAUGUAAAAGAUACACUAGUGCUUGACUUUAGUGCAAGUGGGAGAUUGUUGGAAAUAUGCCCUGCAAGUCAAUCUUUGGAAGAAAUCUUUCAGGACAAAUGAAUCGAUGUAUGGAUGAUUCUUAUACAUCAAAUGGCAAAGAUACUAAUUAGGACUAUCUCAAUAAACGAUAUAUGUCUUGAAUAGUGAAUCCAUGGACAAUGGAUCGAUUGAAGAAGUAAUCUAAUGAUGUUAGACUACAGAGACCUUCUUCACAUAACCAUUAUAUCCAAAAGGUUCCUGGUCGUUGGAUUGUCGGAGGGAUACUGACAAUGCUUAGACCGGUACAUACUGUGUUCGCUUCAAUUGGAAGGAUGGAAAGUCUCAUCCCAUUCGUGUUGUGACACUAAGACAAGUAUGUAGGUGCUCAUUAAGGGAAUGAGUUCACAGAACACAAUCGAAUCAGAGUACUUGCAUGGAGGUCUACUCACAUGUCAAGCAAGUAACUCAAAUGGUUGGAAUAAUGUAAGUAAUCCUUUGACAUGAGGCAUCGUCGUUGUCUUGUGGUUAAGUACUUAAUCUUUGAUUAUGUCAAAGUCACUCUAAUAGAAUGUCAACGGCAUAGUUGGGGUUAAGCCACUUAGUCAUGAAGGCAAGUGUAUGCGCAACAAGGAAUCUCUAAUCCUCGAUAAGAGAGGAAGAAUACUCUCAGAUAUGAUUCGGGAAUCUUCGGCCGAAGUAUUGAGCGUAAUAAAGGAAAGCGUUCCUAUACGACUCAAUUGGAUCAUAUAAGAAGGAAUAAUCACAUU
rnacentral:lncRNA from 1 species